rnacentral:rRNA from 1 species
GUGUCAGCCGCCGCGGUAAUACGAGGGGUGCUAGCGUUGUCCGGAAUCACUGGGCGUAAAGGGUCCGUAGGCGUUUUGCUAAGUUGAUUGUUAAAUCCAUCGGCUCAACCGAUGACCUGCAAUCAAAACUGGUAGAAUAGAGUUCGAGAGAGGAAAGUAGAAUUCCUGGUGUAGCGGUGACAUGCGUAGAUAUCAGGAGGAACACCAAUGGCGAAGGCAGCUUUCUGGCUCGAUACUGACGCUGAGGGACGAAAGCGUGGGGAGCGAACAGGAUUAGAUACCCUGGUAGUCCACGCCGUAAACGAUGAGUACUUGAUGUCGGGGGAUUCGACCCCUUCGGUGUCGUAGCUAACGCGAUAAGUACUCCGCCUGGGGACUACGACCGCAAGGUUGAA